rnacentral:rRNA from 1 species
AUUGAACGCUGGCGGAAUGCUUUACACAUGCAAGUCGAACGGCAGCACGGACUUCGGUCUGGUGGCGAGUGGCGAACGGGUGAGUAAUGUAUCGGAACGUGCCCAGUCGUGGGGGAUAACGUAGUGAAAAUUACGCUAAUACCGCAUACGAUCUAUGGAUGAAAGCGGGGGAUCGCAAGACCUCGAGCGAUUGGAGCGGCCGAUAUCAGAUUAGGUAGUUGGUGGGGUAAAGGCCCACAGAGCCAACGAUCUGGAGCCGGUCUGAGAGGACGACCAGCCACACUGGAACUGAGACACGGUCCGGACUCCUACGGGAGGCAGCAGUGGGGAAUUUUGGACAAUGGGCGAAAGCCUGAUCCAGCCAUACCGCGUGCAGGAUGAAGGCCCUCGGGUUGUAAACUGCUUUUGUACAGAACGAAAAGGUUUCUACUAAUACUAGGAGCUCAUGACGGUACUGUAAGAAUAAGCACCGGCUAACUACGUGCCAGCCGCCGCCGUAA